rnacentral:rRNA from 1 species
GCCAUGCGAGUCACAUAGCAAUAUGUGGCAUACGGCUCAGUAACACGUAGUCAACAUGCCCAGGGGACGUGGAUAACCUCGGGAAACUGAGGAUAAACCGCGAUAGGUCAUCACUUCUGGAAUGGGUAAUGACUUAAAUCUAUAUGGCCCCUGGAUUGGACUGCGGCCGAUCAGGCUGUUGGUGAGGUAAUGGCCCACCAAACCUGUAACCGGUACGGGCUCUGAGAGGAGGAGCCCGGAGAUGGGCACUGAGACAAGGGCCCAGGCCCUAUGGGGCGCAGCAGGCGCGAAACCUCUGCAAUAGGCGAAAGCUUGACAGGGUUACUCUGAGUGAUUUCCGUUAAGGAGAUCUUUUGGCACCUCUAAAAAUGGUGCAGAAUAAGGGGUGGGCAAGUCUGGUGUCAGCCGCCGCGGUAAUACCAGCACCCCGAGUGGUCGGGACGUUUAUUGGGCCUAAAGCAUCCGUAGCCGGUUCUACAAGUCUUCCGUUAAAUCCACCUGCUUAACAGAUGGGCUGCGGAAGAUACUAUAGAGCUAGGAGGCGGGAGAGGCAAGCGGUACUCGAUGGGUAGGGGUAAAAUCCGUUGAUCCAUUGAAGACCACCAGUGGCGAAGGCGGCUUGCCAGAACGCGCUCGACGGUGAGGGAUGAAAGCUGGGGGAGCAAACCGGAUUAGAUACCCGGGUAGUCCCAGCUGUAAACGAUGCAGACUCAGUGAUGAGUUGGCUUAUUGCUAACUCAGUGCCGCAGGGAAGCCGUUAAGUUUGCCGCCUGGGGAGUACGGUCGCAAGACUGAAACUUAA